rnacentral:rRNA from 1 species
UUGGAGGGCAAGUCUGGUGCCAGCAGCCGCGGUAAUUCCAGCUCCAAUAGCGUAUAUUAAAGUUGUUGCAGUUAAAAAGCUCGUAGUUGAAUUUCGGGAUCAAUGUUUCGGUCAUGCCGUUGGUAUGUACUGAUAUUAUUGGUUUCUCCCUUCUGAAGAACCGUCAUGUCAUUAAGUUGGUGUGGCGGGGAAUCAGGACUGUUACUUUGAAAAAAUUAGAGUGUUUAAAGCAGGCUCGCGCUUGAAUACAUUAGCAUGGAAUAAUGAAAUAGGACGUUUGACCCUAUUUUGUUGGUUUCUAGGAUCGACGUAAUGAUUAAUAGGGAUAGUUGGGGGCAUUAGUAUUCAAUUGUCAGAGGUGAAAUUCUUGGAUUUAUUGAAGACUAACUACUGCGAAAGCAUUUGCCAAGAAUGUUUUCAUUAAUCAAGAACGAAAGUUAGGGGAUCGAAGACGAUCAGAUACCGUCGUAGUCUUAACCAUAAACUAUGCCGACUAGGGAUCGGAUGAUGUUAAUUUUUUAAUGACUCAUUCGGCGCCUUACGGGAAAC